GCUUCAAGAUGUCAAAAAACACUGAUGGAGCCAAGAUCAAAGAUUAAUAUAGCAAGUACAAGAGUGACCAGUAAUGAUCUCUAGACCAGAAUUUGAACAUGCACAUCCUUGAGGCCACCAGUGAAAAGACUGUAAGGUCAUAUAGCUUAUACCAUUUCAAGGAGUCAUUGUCUAACCUGGAGGCUCAAGCCCAUCAUUCAAAGAAAACACCGGAAGAGACUAGGUGUUCUGUGAAAUGGCGUAUUCCGAAGUCUCUGUCACUGAGAGAAGGAUGUAAGCGCAGGAUCAAAGCAUCAUCUUCAAAGAAGGAGCUGUGUGAUCUCUGUCUCUGAAAAUCUCCUCUGUUGACCUCUCAUCGAAGCCAACUUCCUCUGCUUAGUCAUCUUGCUUACUUCACCUAGCACAGUGCCAGUCCAGCUCUACAUCAUGAUCUCCAAGCUCCAGUAACUGCCACCAACUGACAACAGUCUCCAUAUCUCUUCUGGCAAACUCUCACAUGGAAGAGACUUUUCAGACCAUAUCAUGCUUUUCUCACAAUGGAGCAGCAGCUUUGGGUUGGAGAAGGGUCAUGGGGUAUAGAGGAGUGCAGAAUAGAUCCUUUAGAAGGGGCCAUGGAUGGGGCAGACAAUGAGACCUAUUUAUUAUAUCCUCGCUUAUCUAUGUUUCCAUCACAAUCUGUAUCAUGCUUUAUGAUCUAGUCUAGGAUACACAAGAGGGCGGGUAAUCAUAGCAGUGAAUCACUGUGUAGAGUGUGGUGUCUGCUCUAAAUGGGUUUAUAAUCUGGUUGAUGAGAUAAGACACAGCCCAAGAAAAGGAAACGAGUCAUACCAGGCAGUGCCUGAUGAGCAUCAGAUGACUAGCACAGACACUAGGGGUUUUUAAAGAGUUAGAGAAGGGAGAGAUCAUUGUGGGUAAGAAAGUUCAAGGAGGAUUUCCCAAGAGAGGUGGGGACAGAAGUGGGUCUUGAGGGAUGGGAAGGAUUCGGAGAGAAAGGGGAGAGGAGAGGCUUUCUAGAUUGGAGUGGAGGAGGGGAGAGUGGGAAUGCAUGAUGCAUGUUCAGGGCACAAUGAAUAGGCCAACGUGUUCUGGGCGCAAGAUGUGUGUUGAAAAGUACUAGAAGCUAAGACAGGAAAAGAAGGGAGAAACAAAAUUGUGUAUGACCUUGAAUACCAAACUAAAUAUUUUGGAUUUGAUUUUGAACAUUUUAUUAAUGAGGUUUGAGCAGGGCUUGGCAUGGUCAGGGCAGUGCUCUAGGACGACCCACUGAAGUGAAGUAUGCCAGAGGCCAGAGAUGGUCGAGAGGCCCUUACGACGUUGCCAGUAAGAUGGGGC
rnacentral:lncRNA from 1 species